rnacentral:rRNA from 1 species
UACGAAGGGGGCUAGCGUUGCUCGGAAUCACUGGGCGCAAAGCGCACGUAGGCGGCUUCUUAAGUCAGGGGUGAAAUCCUGGAGCUCAACUCCAGAACUGCCUUUGAUACUGAGAAGCUUGAGUCCGGGAGAGGUGAGUGGAACUGCGAGUGUAGAGGUGAAAUUCGUAGAUAUUCGCAAGAACACCAGUGGCGAAGGCGGCUCACUGGCCCGGUACUGACGCUGAGGUGCGAAAGCGUGGGGAGCAAACAGG